rnacentral:rRNA from 1 species
GACAGAGGGUGCAAACGUUGUUCGGAAUUACUGGGCGUAAAGCGCGUGUAGGCGGCUAUGCAAGUCGGAUGUGAAAGCCCUCGGCUCAACCGGGGAAGUGCACCCGAAACUGCAAAGCUAGAGUCUCGGAGAGGAUCGUGGAAUUCUCGGUGUAGAGGUGAAAUUCGUAGAUAUCGAGAGGAACACCGGUGGCGAAAGCGGCGAUCUGGACGAUGACUGACGCUGAGACGCGAAAGCGUGGGGAGCGAACAGG